ACGACUUCCGGUUUCAAUACGGAUUCUUUAGGAAAUACGUUUUCCCCGCCGACAGCUCCCAUUGACUUCCAUUUGGCCGGUGCCCAACCAGGGAGGAGGGGCUUUUCAACAAAUGGCAAAAUAUUAUACUUGGUCACAUUUAAGUGGUUGUUGACAGGGGCUUACGGUCUCCCACACGCAUUUACGCGUUAACAAGGUACAUUUCUUAUUUUAAUUAUUUGGUAUAUAAUGAUUUUUGACAUGUCUUUAUUUUUUUUUUCAUCUCAAAAUUUUAAGUGGGGCGGCGCCCUACCGCCCUGUAUUGACGCACCGCCACUCCUUAGGAGUUAGCUUGCUAGUUUUAGACCAAAACACCUUACUUUUGUAUUAAGAAAGAUACAGUCUAAUUUAAUCUCUGAUAGGCACAUCUUAUAUUCUCUUUCAGGGAAACAUAGACAACAGAGGUAAGAUCAUAUGUGUUUUAUUCUUUCAAAUAACACGUUCACCGUUUUAAAGGACCAUAAGCUGCAACUGAUUUCCUGUGUAUCUUACAAACAGUUCAAAGGGUACUCUAGGCAGGACCAGACAGAGUAAGAUCCUAUAUGUCUUCACACUCACCAUAUGUGUAGCCUAUGUACUGGGAGGAACAUGCUAAUUUACAGACUAUUUUAUUUGUGUUUGUGUUUCAGAGAAUCACCCGGACAUUAUGCCUGCACAUAGUACAGUUAGAACUGUUGACACUGCUGGAACCAUGAUCACUUCAACAUCCCUGACUGUAGCUCCAGAUGUUGACAAAAGGGAAGACAUUUUCUCUGAACAGAUUUAUGCAAACCACUCUAUUAUCUACGACUCUAUUAUCUGACCCAGCAAGUAUCUCCAACCAGGGGGACCCCACAUACAGCUUGGUGCAGGACCACAGGAGCCCUGUUGUCACACAGCAGGACAUGACCUACAGCCUUCUGCAGGUGCACUGAUACAGAUGCACAUACUGCAUAUAGCAUUUAUUAUGCUUUAAAAGGCUAAUCUAAAAUUACUACAAUGACUAUGGUCUAUUGAAGGUUUGAUGGACAUCUUAUCCAGUGAAAUUUCUGUUGUAUUUUAGCUAGAAUGCAAAGAUUUCAGGAGGCA
ensembl:lncRNA